GUGUCAGCCGCCGCGGUAAAACGUAGGGGGCGAGCGUUAUCCGGAAUUACUGGGCGUAAAGGGCGUCUAGGCGGCACGCCAAGUCUCGCGUGAAAGCUCCCGGCUCAACUGGGAGAGGGCGCGGGAAACUGGCGAGCUAGAGACUCGGAGGGGGGUGUGGAAUUCCCGGUGGAGUGGUGAAAUGCGUUGAGAUCGGGAGGAACACCCGUGGCGAAGGCGGCACCCUGGCCGAGGUCUGACGCUGAAGCGCGACAGCGUGGGGAGCAAACGGGAUUAGAAACCCUCGUAGUCC
rnacentral:rRNA from 1 species